CUGCAUUAAUGAAUCAGUGUGGAAGGAAAACAAAGUUGGAAGAGGGAAGAGUGGUGAAUGAGACUGAACCAUAGAAACUUGAUAUUUGAGCGGGUAGGUCAUAGUUGAAGAUGGGUGUGGGGAACGGUCAGCUGGUCUGUGUACUCCCGAGGCUCUGAUAAACAAGGAAAUGGAAAGUAAAUGUGACGGCCAAGUGUCAUUUAGGAGAGGCUUCAAGGAGACUAUGAAUCCAGUGUGGCACUAAACUCUAGAGCAAAUGAAUGGUGAGCACAUCAGCUGGUACACGUCAGAAGAAGGCAAAAAGAAAUGGACAGCGUAUCGACAGAAUCUCCUGUAGGAACUGCAUCUGUGUGUGGUGACAAGUUUCCAAAAGCAAAGGCAAUUAACAGUACUGUUUGAGGCUAACUUCUCAGGCAAUUUAGACAAACAAGAUUUUAGUCUGAAUUUUCCAGAUAAUCCACGAACUAGCCUAUAAUUUCAUCAGCUGCAAUAAAUCAACAACCAAGUUUCACCAGAGUUGCCUGCCCUAACGCAAUAUCCUAGGAACGUGCAUCUACAUGUAGACAGCUACAGCAGUUUGACAGAAUUAGGCUUUCAGAGGCAACAUUACAGCAGAAGCACACAGGAAACUGGAAUGAAAGCUAAACACUCUCCUGAAUCCCACAGAAACAAUACAGAUACCCUGGUGAAUAACGCGAAGGGGAGUCCACAUCCAUUUUCACGUAGGCAGCAUCAGAACAGCGGGAGUUCUACAUUUAUGCUAUGCCUCAGUUUUCCCUAUGAAAAUGGGCAUACAGACUCGAUGAUUGUUGGAGGGUUGGAGGAAGCAAUGGGUGUGAAUGCACCAAAUACAAUGCCCAGAAUAUUACGGGGACUCAAAAAUGUUAUCUGGAUCUGAAUCAAUCCGCAGAGGUUAAGAGUAUAAUUGUACUAUUUUGCCCCUUUCCUAGCCCCAUCUAUGAUGUGUCUACACUACCUCAAAUGCUCUAUAAGAGAUAAAAAAAGAGAAUAUGGAAUCUCUUUCAGGAUGAAAUGUGUUUGAAUAAGAAAAGUGAGAUGAAAUGUAAAAAUAAUAUAACCUUGACUCUGAUUCAAUUCAUUAUAUGACUAGUAUGAGGCACAUAAAUUUGAAUUGUUACAGAAGUAGAAAUGCACAACUACAAAAGGCUGGCACUUGGUGGGCUCUAUCUUGAUCCUGCUGAAACAUGUCACAAAGGGUUGAGUAUAUAACACAUAAAAUGGGAAACAAUCAGCAAAUGGAAGAAGAGAGAUAGGGCAAAAUGUUAAAAAUAUACAUCUAGUAUGCCAAACACUAAUGAGUGCUCCGAAGAAGAAUAUCGCAAGGUGAGCGGUAGAUAGAGGCUGGU